UGGGGAAUAUUGCACAAUGGGGGAAACCCUGAUGCAGCGACGCCGCGUGAAGGACGAAGGUCUUCGGAUCGUAAACUUUUGUCUUCAGGGACGAAAAAAUGACGGUACCUGAGGAGGAAGCCACGGCUAACUACGUGCCAGCAGCCGCGGUAAUACGUAGGUGGCAAGCGUUGUCCGGAUUUACUGGGUGUAAAGGGCGUGUAGGCGGGUUUUUAAGUCAGAUGUGAAAUCCCUCGGCUCAACUGAGGAACUGCAUUUGAAACUGGAAAUCUUGAGUGCCGGAGAGGGAAGCGGAAUUCCUAGUGUAGCGGUGAAAUGCGUAGAUAUUAGGAGGAACACCAGUGGCGAAGGCGGCUUUCUGGACGGUAACUGACGCUGAGGCGCGAAAGCGUGGGGAGCAAACAGG
rnacentral:rRNA from 1 species